ACGCCGGUGUCGUGCCAAGGUACUUACCCCUGAAAGGAAGUGUAUCCCCGGUCGCGGGAGCGCGCACGCAUUCAGCAGGAGAUGACCUGACUGACAUAUGUCACUUCUGUGGAUCAGAAGGACCCAAGGAAGAUUUGAGCUGGAUUCAGUGUGACGUUUGUUUGCGGUGGUUCCACCAUAUGUGUGUUAAAAGCCCACCAACGGAGGAGGCCUUCCUGUGUACUGCUUGUACUCCUUAAUUUUGUGUACAUUAUUGUUCCGGAGGAAUUUAUUGAUUAAAUCUUGUUGUAUUAUUACACCUUCCAAGUAUGUGUCUUAUCAUCUUAAAAUUAUUAAAAACCAACAGACUGAUGCGGGACAUUAUCUCAAUAUGCGACGUGCGGUCCAGCACAAAGUGGGACGGGUGCUGCUCAAGAUGGAUGGCGGGGGUCUUAUCUUGCUUUCUUGGCGCCACAGGAAGUGGAGACGUUGAUAGUCCAUCAUCUGUGGAAUAUGGAGAGGGGGAUACCUUUUAUAGCAGGUCGAAAAUACGGUCUGAAAAAAUCUGUAUCCCACUAUAACUUUAGUCAGGAAAUAGGAAAUGUGUUCA